AUCUCUAAGUGAUAUGGGAAAGCAUCAGGAUCCUCCAACGCAUCAUCAUAAUUCUCCCCAGUGACUGAAAUAGACAUUUUAUGAUUUCAAAUUACAUUUGAAGUAUCCUUGAAGUGACAAUGAUGAAUUGUGGGACUUGACUUGGUACGCUUUCUCACAUACCUGUUCGAUACUGCACAGACACACAGACAAAGUCUAAACUUUCUCCUUUCAGAUGUGGAAUAAACAGAAUGAAGCUGGGAUACAUUGUUCUCUGAACUGUUUAUUUCUGGAGGACAUAUGUUACGACCAAAGACCAAAAAGUUUUUACUCUGAAUGGAUUGGCACUGACAGUCUGACAGAGGGCUUGGAAGGGGGACUAAGCCCUCUUGUAUGAACCAGUUAUUUAAUUGGAUAACAACAACAAGAAGAGAAGAAAAGCAAGAGCCAAGCAAUGUUUUACUUUCAUGGUGCCAAACUGUGGAGUGCAGAAGUCCUUGAAAAACCCUGCCACCGCAAGUCAAACCCCAUACUGUUCUGGGACAGAACACAAUGCUCGCCUCUCUUUGGAAAGUAUUCCACUUUAUACAAAAUUUUUAGUUCUGGUACAACGAAUACCUGUGAAUUCUUGUCCUGGUACCUGGAGCACGUAGCCAAGAGCUGCAUCCCAGACCUUGCUUUUUUUUUUUUUUUUUUUUUUUUUUUCCCCAGGGCUUAUUAAAAAAUUAUGUUAUACACAGAAGCCAUUUCCAGGCACAUAAAGGACAAGUUGAUUGUGGACACAGUCUGGAUAAAUCAUGGGUAAUAAAUUAGGAUAAAUCAUG